GACGAACGCUGGCGGCGUGCUUAACACAUGCGAGUCGAACGGAAAGGCCCUGCUUUUGUGGGGUGCUCGAGUGGCGAACGGGUGAGUAACACGUGAGUAACCUGCCCUUGACUUUGGGAUAACUUCAGGAAACUGGGGCUAAUACCGGAUAGGAGCUCCUGCUGCAUGGUGGGGGUUGGAAAGUUUCGGCGGUUGGGGAUGGACUCGCGGCUUAUCAGCUUGUUGGUGGGGUAGUGGCUUACCAAGGCUUUGACGGGUAGCCGGCCUGAGAGGGUGACCGACCACAUUGGGACUGAGAUACGGCCCAGACUCCUACGGGAGGCAGCAGUGGGGAAUAUUGCACAAUGGGCGGAAGCCUGAUGCAGCAACGCCGCGUGCGGGAUGACGGCCUUCGGGUUGUAAACCGCUUUCGCCUGUGACGAAGCGUGAGUGACGGUAAUGGGUAAAGAAGCACCGGCUAACUACGUG
rnacentral:rRNA from 1 species